rnacentral:rRNA from 1 species
UAGGGAAUCUUCGGCAAUGGACGAAAGUCUGACCGAGCAACGCCGCGUGAGUGAAGAAGGUUUUCGGAUCGUAAAACUCUGUUGUUAGAGAAGAACGUUGUGUAGAGUGGAAAAUUACACAAGUGACGGUAUCUAACCAGAAAGGGACGGCUAACUACGUG